UAACUACUGGAAACGGUAGCUAAUACCGCAUAACGUCGCAAGACCAAAGAGGGGGACCUUCGGGCCUCUUGCCAUCAGAUGUGCCCAGAUGGGAUUAGCUAGUAGGUGGGGUAAUGGCUCACCUAGGCGACGAUCCCUAGCUGGUCUGAGAGGAUGACCAGCCACACUGGAACUGAGACACGGUCCAGACUCAUACGGGAGGCAGCAGUGGGGAAUAUUGCACAAUGGGCGCAAGCCU
rnacentral:rRNA from 1 species